rnacentral:rRNA from 1 species
AGAUACCCUGGUAGUCCACGCCGUAAACGCUGAGUGCUAGGUGUUAGGUCCUUUCCGGGACUUAGUGCCGACGCUAACGCAUUAAGCACUCCGCCUGGGGAGUACGACCGCAAGGUUGAAACUCAAAGGAAUUGACGGGGGCCCGCACAAGCGGUGGAGCAUGUGGUUUAAUUCGAAGCAACGCGAAGAACCUUACCAGGUCUUGACAUCCCGAUGCCCGCUCUAGAGAUAGAGUUUUUCUUCGGAACAUCGGAGACAGGUGGUGCAUGGUUGUCGUCAGCUCGUGUCGUGAGAUGUUGGGUUAAGUCCCGCAACGAGCGCAACCCUUAUUGUUAGUUGCCAUCAUUAAGUUGGGCACUCUAGCGAGACUGCCGGUAAUAAACCGGAGGAAGGUGGGGAUGACGUCAAAUCAUCAUGCCCCUUAUGACCUGGGCUACACACGUGCUACAAUGGUUGGUACAACGAGUCGCAAGCCGGUGACGGCAAGCUAAUCUCUGAAAGCCAAUCUCAGUUCGGAUUGUAGGCUGCAACUCGCCUACAUGAAGUCGGAAUCGCUAGUAAUCGCGGAUCAGCACGCCGCGGUGAAUACGUUCCCGGGCCUUGUACACACCGCCCGUCACACCACGAGAGUUUGUAACACCCAAAGUCGGUGAGGUAACCAUUUAUGGGGCCAGCCGCCUAAGGUGGGAUGGAUGAUUGGGGUGAAGUCGUAACAAGGUAGCCGUAUCGGAAGGUGCGGCUG